UACGUAGGGUGCAAGCGUUAAUCGGAAUUACUGGGCGUAAAGCGUGCGCAGGCGGUUUUGUAAGUCAGAUGUGAAAUCCCCGGGCUUAACCUGGGAACUGCGUUUGAAACUACAAGGCUAGAGUGUGACAGAGGGGGGGUGGAAUUCCGCGUGUAGCAGUGAAAUGCGUAGAUAUGCGGAGGAACACCGAUGGCGAAGGCAGCCCCCUGGGUCGACACUGACGCUCGAUGCACGAAAGCGUGGGGAGCGAACAGG
rnacentral:rRNA from 1 species